AUCCUAACCGAGGCAAUGACGCAGCUAGUGAGGUUCUAACCGAGGCGCGUCAAUUGUUGGUUGAAAACUAUUUCCAAACCCCUCUUGGGUUUGGGCUUGUCCCUGACCCUCGAUAAUUUCUGGAAGGGACACCCCAUGUGGGCAAAGUCC